rnacentral:rRNA from 1 species
CGUAUGGGCGAGCUGAUGGAGCAACGCCGCGUGAGUGAAGAAGGUUUUCGGAUCGUAAAACUCUGUUGUAAGGGAAGAACAAGUACAGUAGUAACUGGCUGUACCUUGACGGUACCUUAUUAGAAAGCCACGGCUAACUACGUGCCAGCAGCCGCGGUAAUACGUAGGUGGCAAGCGUUGUCCGGAAUUAUUGGGCGUAAAGCGCGCGCAGGCGGUCCUUUAAGUCUGAUGUGAAAGCCCACGGCUCAACCGUGGAGGGUCAUUGGAAACUGGGGGACUUGAGUGCAGAAGAGGAAAGUGGAAUUCCAAGUGUAGCGGUGAAAUGCGUAGAGAUUUGGAGGAACACCAGUGGCGAAGGCGACUUUCUGGUCUGUAACUGACGCUGAGGCGCGAAAGCGUGGGGAGCAAACAGGAUUAGAUACCCUGGUAGUCCACGCCGUAAACGAUGAGUGCUAAGUGUUAGGGGGUUUCCGCCCCUUAGUGCUGCAGCUAACGCAUUAAGCACUCCGCCUGGGGAGUACGGUCGCAAGACUGAAACUCAAAGGAAUUGACGG